CGGUUCUCGUUAGAUCACCGAAGUCAAGCAUCAUUGGUCGCGGUCAGUACUUGGGUGGGUGACCACCUGAGAACACCGCGUGCCGUU